ACUCAAAUGAAUAGACGGGGGCUCACACAAGCGGUGGAGCAUGUGGCUCAAUUCGAAGCAACGCGAAGAACCUUACCUGGGUUUGACAUGCAUGGAUUAACUCCCGGAAACGGGAGCCACGCCCUUCGGGUGGAACAUGCACAGGUGCUGCAUGGCUGUCGUCAGCUCGUGCUGUGAAGUGUCGGGUUAAGUCCCUCAACGAGCGAAACCCCUGUCGCUAGUUGCUAACAGGUAAUGCUGAGGACUCUAGCGAGACCGCCGGUGUCAAACCGGAGGAAGGUGGGGAUGACGUCAAGUCCUCAUGGCCUUUAUGCCCAGGGCUGCACACGUGCUACAAUGGCGCCGACAGAACGAUGCAAGACCGUUAGGUGGAGCAAAACGCUCAAAAGGCGCCCCAGUUCGGAUUGGAGGCUGCAAUUCGCCUCCAUGAAGUCGGAAUCGCUAGUAAUCGCGGAUCAGCUACGCCGCGGUGAAUAUGUUCCUGAGCCUUGUACACACCGCCCGU
rnacentral:rRNA from 1 species